rnacentral:rRNA from 1 species
GGCGGCGUGCUUAACACAUGCAAGUCGAGCGGAAAGGCCCUUCGGGGUACUCGAGCGGCGAACGGGUGAGUAACACGUGAGUAACCUGCCCCUGACUCUGGGAUAAGCCCGGGAAACUGGGUCUAAUACCGGAUACGACACGUUCCUGCAUGGGAUGCGUGUGGAAAGUCUUUUCGGUUGGGGAUGGACUCGCGGCCUAUCAGCUUGUUGGUGGGGUAACGGCCUACCAAGGCGACGACGGGUAGCCGGCCUGAGAGGGCGACCGGCCACACUGGGACUGAGACACGGCCCAGACUCCUACGGGAGGCAGCAGUGGGGAAUAUUGCGCAAUGGGCGGAAGCCUGACGCAGCGACGCCGCGUGGGGGAUGACGGCCUUCGGGUUGUAAACCUCUUUCAGCAGGGACGAAGUUGACGUGUACCUGCAGAAGAAGCGCCGGCUAACUACGUGCCAGCAGCCGCGGUAAUACGUAGGGCGCAAGCGUUGUCCGGAAUUAUUGGGCGUAAAGAGCUCGUAGGUGGCUUGUCGCGUCGGAUGUGAAAGCUUGGGGCUUAACUCCAGGUCUGCAUUCGAUACGGGCUGGCUAGAGGUAGGUAGGGGAGAACGGAAUUCCUGGUGUAGCGGUGAAAUGCGCAGAUAUCAGGAGGAACACCGGUGGCGAAGGCGGUUCUCUGGGCCUUACCUGACGCUGAGGAGCGAAAGCGUGGGGAGCGAACAGGAUUAGAUACCCUGGUAGUCCACGCUGUAAACGUUGGGCGCUAGGUGUGGGGGCCUUCCACGGUUUCCGCGCCGUAGCUAACGCAUUAAGCGCCCCGCCUGGGGAGUACGGCCGC